GACGAACGCUGGCGGCGUGCCUAAUACAUGCAAGUCGAACGCUGAGACUCAGCUCUUGCUGCUCGGACGUUUGCGGCACACGUGAGUGUCACGCGUGUAACACCUCCCUAUCUUUCGGAUAUAACUUCGAGACGCCGGAUCAUAUACGGUAUUAUCUGUUGAUCCGCAUGGUGCCGUAGUGAAAGACGUUUUUGCUGUCACUUAUACAUGGAUCCGUGCCGCAUGUGCUAGUUGGUAAGGUCACGGCUUACCUUGGCGGCUAUGCGUCGCCGACUUGAGAGGGUGAUCGGCCACACUGGAACUGAGACACGGUCCAGACGCCUACGGGAGGCAGCGGUGGGGAAGCUUGCGCAAUGGGCGAAAGCCUGACGGAGCAACGCCGCGUGAGUGAGGAAGGUCUUCGGAUCGUAAAACUGUGUUAUUAGGGAAGAACAAAUGUGUAAGUAACUAUGCACGUCUUGACGGUACUUAAUCAGAAAGCCACGGCUAACUACGUG
rnacentral:rRNA from 1 species